rnacentral:rRNA from 1 species
UACGUAGGGGGCUAGCGUUGUCCGGAAUCAUUGGGCGUAAAGAGCGCGUAGGCGGCCAGAUAAGUCCGGUGUGAAAGUCAAAGGCUCAACCUUUGAAUGCCGCUGGAAACUGUCUGGCUAGAGUCCGGGAGGGGCGAGUGGAAUUCCUGGUGUAGCGGUGGAAUGCGCAGAUAUCAGGAGGAACACCAAUGGCGAAGGCAGAUCUCUGGGCCGUAACUGACGCUGAGGAGCGAAAGCAUGGGGAGCGAACAGG